rnacentral:rRNA from 1 species
UAGGGAAUCUUCGGCAAUGGACGAAAGUCUGACCGAGCAACGCCGCGUGAGUGAAGAAGGUUUUCGGAUCGUAAAACUCUGUUGUUAGAGAAGAACAAGGACGUUAGUAACUGAACGUCCCCUGACGGUAUCUAACCAGAAAGCAACGGCUAACUACGUGCCAGCAGCCGCGGUAAUACGUAGGUGGCAAGCGUUGUCCGGAUUUAUUGGGCGUAAAGCGAGCGCAGGCGGUUUCUUAAGUCUGAUGUGAAAGCCCCCGGCUCAACCGGGGAGGGUCAUUGGAAACUGGGCGGCUUGAGUGCAGAAGAGGAGAGUGGAAUUCCAUGUGUAGCGGUGAAAGGCGUAGAUAUAAGGAGGAACACCAGUGGCGAAGGCGGCUCGCUGGUCUGUAACUGACGCUGAGGCACGAAAGCGUGGGGAGCAAACAGG